rnacentral:misc_RNA from 1 species
CCUCUACAGGUUUUUGGAUUUUCUUCGUGAGCCUACCUCAGACAACAUAAUGUUUUUUUAUCUGUAUGAAGCCAGUGUAAAAAAGAGCAAAUGAUUGUCAUAGUAAAUCAUAAAGGGUACGGGUAAUGCCUUGAAAAAUUUAAGCUGCAAUUUCUAUGCAUGGAACUUAUUUUCGUUCUGAAGAUUCUGUUUGUGAUGCAUGACAAACAAGGUUCUCUAAAACAUUUCCAGCAUCGUCCCCCUCAACAUAGCCUCUGCCUUCCUCACCUGUUUCACUGGUCCAACUAUGAAUACCUCGUCAGGUGGACCGUUCGAACCUCCAAAGAAAUUGCUGCAAGACAAAAUGGAGGCCCCUCGCUUUCCAAUAACCUGUCCCAUCCUUCCAGGGGGAACAUCAAGAACUGAUAGGAUUUCCUCCUCAGGAUCACCACCCUCUGCUAUAAGGUUAUCUACACAG